UGGAAAGAAAUAUUCCAUAACCUCGGGUACUUGAGAGGAAUAAAUUACUUUACAACACAUCGUGAAGUAGGUGGACUUGGUUCUUCAAUUUCUCUUUCAUAUUUUUUUCUUAAUAGUUGAUAAACACUUCAUUUGAUAGUUCAUUUGAUUAUUUAUUUGAACUUGUAUUGAAGGUGUUGAACUUCAUUGUCGUUCUUGAAAACUUA
rnacentral:lncRNA from 1 species